rnacentral:rRNA from 1 species
CCUACGGGGGGCAGCAGUAAGGAAUAUUGGUCAAUGGAGGAAACUCUGAACCAGCCAUCCCGCGUGAAGGAUGAAGGGGCUCUGCCUUGUAAACUUCUUUUGUCUGGGGCGAAAAAGCUCGAUUUAUCGAGAACUGACGGUACCAGAAGAAUAAGCACAGGCUAACUCCGUGCCAGCAGCCGCGGUAAUACGGAGUGUGCAGGCGUUAUCCGGAUUAACUGGGUUUAAGGGGGCUGAGUACGGCAGUGGUGAAAGGCUGUGGCUUAACCAUGGAAUUGCCAUUGAUACUGCAGAGCUUGAAUGAGGUUGAGGUUGGCGGAAUGUGACAUGUAGCGGUGAAAUGCUUAGAUAUGUCAUGGAACACCGAUUGCGAAGGCAGCUGACUGGACCUAUAUUGACGCUGAGGCACGAAAGCGUGGGGAGCGAACAGGAUUAGAUACCCUGGUAGUC